rnacentral:lncRNA from 1 species
GAAACAAUCUGCAAUUUCAUUCUCCAGUUAAACUUCCUCAUCGCAGCCCCUAUUCUCAGCCCCAGCUUUCUUUGCUCCCAGCUAACUGUCUCCCCUUCUCUCUGCACUUGAUUGCGCUUGUCUUUCUUCUGAAACUCUCACCUCUGUCUCUUUCAUCGCUGCUAUAUUUCAUUGUUUGAGGAUUCUUCUUUGAUCUGUUUCUUUCUUUGAAAGAACGAAAAACCCUGUAUUAAGAGCGUGCUCGAGCCCAGGGCUAUGUUGAGAGCUGGGCUCCCAACCGCCGAGGCUGGAGUCUCUCCCCCCAGAGAAUUGAGAUCCAGAGAGGGGAAGGAAAGCAACCGAGAGGAUCGUGGCCAGAAGAAGCGUUCGGGGCUGCGAAGUUCUCGGGAUAAUGGCUGGAACCGGAGCCAGGAAGCGGUUGCUGCUUUGUACCUACUAAGCGCUGGUCACUGUGCAAGGGCUGGGGAUUCAAAAAGAGGCAGAAGAUGGUCCCUGCCUUGGAAGAGUUUACCAUCUAAUAGGGGUAACAACAUGCAAACAAAUAGAUACAAAGUAAGUUAUAUACAAGAGAAAAAGGAAAUAACGGACAGAAGGAAGGCACUAGGAUGAAAAGGAGUUGGAGAAGGUAGGAUUUGAGUGGGGACUUAAAGGAAGCCACAGAGAUCUGGAGUCGGAGUGGGAGAGGGGAGUGUUCCAGGCACGGGGGACAGCCAGAGAGAAUACCCAGUGGUGAGUGAUGGAGUCUCUGAUCCUGGUACCCCGCAGCCUCACUCCACCCUCCCUUUCCUGCCUUACAUCAUGUUGACCCUUCUCUGUUGCAUUUUCUGCUGUUUACAUGAAAUUUGCUGGUUCCAUACAGUCGAGUCAUGAGAGAAGUUAGCCCAAACCUAAAAGAAAUACCAGCUUAAAGAGAAAACUAGAAAUCAGAUCCAUUGGCCUUCCCUUCGUUGCCCUCAGACAUAUUCUAGCUGACACCACAAGAGCCUACCCUGAGCGGAUGAGCAUUUUUGCCAGAGUGGGCCAGUAGUCACAAGAUGGGGUCUUGUAAAAGCCAAUCUUCAGGGUUGCAUGAGAAGAGACUCCCCAAAUCCUCUUGACCAAGGACAAUGGAGAGCAUCAUUGUCUCUGAGGGAUGCAUGGGCUUAUUUCCUGCCAUGUUUCAUGGUCUGUGACAGACUGCUCUGGAAAUGACUUUUUAAAAAGAAAUGUUAGAUCAAUCCCAUCUUUAGUCCAUUUGGCCACAUGCACAUUUAUGAGCCAUACAGAUCGUAGCGUUCUUCCAUAAUGGAUGUUUCCUUUACAUAUUUGUUCCGCACCAGAAAGGCAGAAUAUUUGUGAAAAGCCGUUGGAAAAAUCAAGGCUAGCCACGGUGUCCGUCCCAUUUUUCUGCUGGCUUGGCUAGCACAAUAACUAACUGGGUGGGUGGGGCUCCCCUGCAAAUGGCCAGCAUUGCCAAAGGAAUUUUGCUUUGUUUUCCUUACAGGAUCUUUGAGACAUUUAGCGCCACUGGGACAGGGAGGGACUGAAGCAAUACCUGUGACCGGAACCAGACAGGGCUCCACCCCAGGACACAGAUGACUCCCUCCUGACUUCCCACAGUCCUCUUUGU